rnacentral:lncRNA from 1 species
UUGCAGUUUGUUGUGUGGUCAUAUCUGUUAGACUUUUAAGAGAGAUUCCUAUUUUACAGAUGCCUCUUCUAGAACUAUAAUUCCAUUAACUGACUUAAAAGAUUGUCUUUAGACUCUGUGAAGCAAGCGAGGCAAAUCCUAACUGUCGACAACUGCCUUCUGCUAUUUUAGCGAUUUUGUUAACGGUUCAGAAUGUCUGGUGCAUGGUCCUGCCCUUCCAUGCCCAUGUAGCGAAUGAGCCCCUGAGCCCUCCUUCGUUGUCUCCAGGGCUGGAUGAAGCUGCUCACAUUGCUGUGUCAGUUCUGGGCGAGGGCAAGGCUGGAGACUUGGAGGAGCUGAUGCCUCCUGUGGUUGGGUCUACAGCUAGGAGAAAAUUACUCUCCCAGAUGAUGUUAAUUAUGUAAAAAGAGAUGUAUGAAGUACGUAUUCCAUGAAGGCCCUGAGUACUGGAACGGAAGGAACUGAAAUAUCUUGGAAGAAACCAGUAUCCACCUCCCAUUGUGCUACAUGCUCUACAACAGAUAGCACACACACAAAGGAGUCCAAACCAAAGACCAUACAAUCACACUGGGUCUUAGAGGUCUUUCAGAGUUUGAGGAACAACGGUCAUCUCUAUUUUGGAGACGCAGAAGGUGAGGCACAGAAAAUCUUGCGCAGAAACCCACCGUGAACCAGUGGUAGACUUUGGGUCUAUUGACUCCCCAGCUGCUGAUUUAUUCAUUGGUCCAUUCUGUCCUCUUAAACCACUAAGAGAAGAUCUUCUCAGACACACAACAUGGGCCUAGUACACAGGGUACAGUGUCAAAAGCGCACAACCUGAUUCCGUGCUACUUUUUGGUGCCUGCAAUAUUUUAAAUUCACAUAAAGACGACCUAAAAUACCCUCAAAUCAAAACAGCAUUGGCAUACAUGACUACAAUGUGUAGUUUAGUAGACUCAGGCUCAGAGCAAUUGUUUGUGGCAUGCUGAAACUAGAAUUAACUGACUGUUUUAACUCGUAACAAAUUAAGGCUGGAUUCUUGUUUAUAUUAAGGCCUCUAUCCUAUGAAAAUAUAACCGUGCCUCAGUGCAAAUGAGACUCAGGCUCACCUGAAUAGAAAACUCACCUUCCAGUUCCCUUUAAAGUCAAUAAUUUCACUGGCCCUAAAUCAGUAAAAUAACUGUAACCAAACAACUUGUCCUUAUACCAUGGACUAUUUACAAAAGGACCUGAAAACAGUCUGAAGGAAAACCAAUCAUGUUUGUUGAAGAAAAAAGUUAGAUUACACAGAUCCGUUUGCCUGGUAUUAACAUGGAGGACUGCAACAUGACACCACAUCUUUACAUGAAGAUAACUGGCUUGAUGUUUGGAGGUUAUGAGCGUGUCCAGAUAAAUUGUAGCUGCUUACCAACUCUGGAGAUCAAGCCAUCAUGUUAUACUACUGAGAUAAAAUAGAAAUAGAGUUAUUUGGCAUUUAAGUGCUAGACAUAUAGGGCGUAAUUUGCAUAAAGCUAGAGUGUGUUAUAUUCAGAGGUGUAGGAAGAUGACCUCAAGCUCAGUAAAAUGCUACAUGAUCACAGAUUUCUCCUAUUAUUAUUGUUAUUAAAAGUCAUUAUUUGUUGCUUUCUCAGAAUAGCAAUUCUCCAACUUUGCUGCUCUGUAGCCCAACAUUAUUUUAGAAAUUCUCUCCUUUCCUAACACUCUGUUCAUAACAGUUUUGGUUUUAAAAGCUUCACUGUUUUUAGACAACUGUUUAACAUUUGCUGGCUUAGAAUAAACCAAUCUUUGUUCUCUUCA